rnacentral:tRNA from 1 species
GGUAUAGCUCAGUGGCACAGUGCCUACCUGGAAAGCAUGAGAUCCUGAGUUCCAUUCCCAGUACC